rnacentral:rRNA from 1 species
UACGUAGGGUGCGAGCGUUGUCCGGAAUUAUUGAGCGUAAAGGGCUCGUAGGCGGUCUGUUGCGUCGGGAGUGAAAACUCAGGGCUUAACCCUGAGCCUGCUUCCGAUACGGGCAGACUAGAGGUAUGCAGGGGAGAACGGAAUUCCUGGUGUAGCGGUGAAAUGCGCAGAUAUCAGGAGGAACACCGGUGGCGAAGGCGGGUCUCUGGGCAGUAACUGACGCUGAGGAGCGAAAGCGUGGGGAGCAAACAGG